rnacentral:lncRNA from 1 species
AGAUACCUGUAUAUCUCAUAUGAACUUUGAGACACAGUCCUUAGCAAGCUUGGCAGCAAAAAGCAUCCUCUCUUGAAGUCAGUGCCGAAAUGGUCAGAAUCUGGUUUACACAACUGAAGUCUUACAAAAUGAAAAUUUAUUAGAGAAUAAGUUGGUAUAGCUUUUUUGGAAAGUUAUCCAGCAAUCCCUGGUAUAAUUGAGAAUGUGCAUUUUAUAUGACCACAGACUCCACCUCUAGGGGUGUGCUCUGUAAAAAUCCACUCAUAUCUGCACACAAUGACAUGAAUAAGAAUGUUCAUAACAGCUUUGUGUGUAAUGGUGAAGAAUUAGAAACAAACCAACUUCCACCCAUGGAAGGAUAAAUAAAUUAUGGGUAUCCAUACUCUGAAAUACAAUUCAACACUGAAAAUAACUGAACUAGAAUAAUGUAUAUCAACAUGAAUUUUACCACAUUAUAUUCUUGAUUAAAAAUGCAAUUUGCAAAUGAAUACAGAAGAAUACAAUAUAAUAAUAUUUUUUAAAAUCUACAAAAAUGAAAAAAUAAGAUUGAAAAUUACUUAGGGACCUGUAUCUAAUUAGUAAAGGUGUGCAGAGAUGCAUAGGAAUGAUAAACUCCAAGUUCACGUAUGAGGAGUGAGGGGGAUUUGAACAGGAAGGGGGUCACAGGGAUUCAAUAUUGGGUGUUUGUAGCAGUUUCGGUUUUUCCUUAUAUUAGCCAUUCAACUUUUUUAAUGGCUGAGAUAACUUAUAAGACAACUUUUGGAAAUUCGUCUGAAAAUAAAAUUAGAAUCCAUCUACUCAUCUGUAUAUCAAUAUAUAUUCUCCCCUGGUAAAUAUUAACUGAACUAUUUUACAUAGGUGCUAUUCUAGGAGCUGUGAGAGAAAGAAGGGAAGUAAAAAGGCACAGCGUGUGCCACCCAAAAAGCUGACAAGACUAGUAGGGAAGACAAGAUGCAAGGAAAUUUAGGCAAUACUCUGAUAAAGGGGGAAUCUAAAAGGAAGACACAGCCUGAAGCAAUGGUAUACACAGAGCCAGUUCCCAGGAAUGUGGUGAAAGGCAGGGAAUAUCAUGGGUAUGAGACAAAAUCAAUUCAUGGACAAAAAUCCACUCAUUGAACUCCAGGUUCUUUCCAGGAUGCAACAGAAUCCAUUAACUUAGCAAGUGCUUCCACUCAGGCCUAGGCUGUCUCAAACACUUCUUAUAAUUGCAAAAAAAUAAAAAAAUAAAAAUCCCCUGCACAAAGGGUAUUUUCCUUCUGUGUUGUGUGUACUUUGUCAAUAUAAGUGCCACAGCACUCCUUCUGGAGGUGUAACAGUGGCAGGGCAAUAUCCACUAGUCAUUCUGAUAUCUUGUGUCAACAGAGCUCUUUGUGAUUCUGUUUUAACCAAGAACAUAUAAGAACAUAUUGCACUGGACUAGAACAGCUUCAUACCCCUCACAAGAGACCCAGGGCAUGCAGUGUAGGAUUGCUCAGUUGUCCUUGUGGCCAACCUUUGUAUGAGUAAGAGUGAGGGAUGCUUUGGGAAAAGCUAAAUCUUCUGGAAGGUCCUUAUCGGCUGUGAUAUUACCUGCUUCAGUUUCCCAAAUAGGGGAUCCUUGAGUACAUAGAUGCUUCUAAACCUUUUAACUGGGAUUUCUUUAGUUACUGCACUAGAUGGUCUUGAAAAUAACAAGCUCUAAAAAAAUCCUUUUCAUUGAUGGCUUAUUUUCAUCUCUCCUGAAACUGUAUGUUUUUGAGACUUGAAGAGAAUCUCAAGUAUUUCAUAAAUAGUGAACCAACUUAAGUUUACCUCAUCUAGAUUUUCCAUGAUUUUUAUAACCUUUAUAACUAGUUCUUUACCCUCAUUUUUCUAGAAUGAGAAGCUAUUAAUUUUCUUCCAUAUUUUUCAUAUUUUAUUAAAAAUUUAUAAUAUCCUCAAAAUAAAAAGGACACUUUGUUGACUUGUGUAUGCAUUUGUGGCUGUAUCUGAGCUUAUUCGGGGAAUUCACUUACAUACUGUGCCACUUCAGUUUUAUCUUGUGAUGGAUUAUGUCAGAGGGAUUGGGAAAGAACACCAGAAUCAGGACUUAUUAAUUAUGAGUUAUAAAUUAGGAAGUCUUUUAUUGCAUCUUCACCAUUCCUAAUCCAUGUAAGUAUCUGUCUGGUAAGCUUUCAUAAAAUAUUCAAGGUAAAAAGAAACCUUGGAGAGUAUCAUGUUUGAGGUUUCUCAAAUUCAGUCCAGGGAUCGUUACUGCUGAGGUGCCAUAAUAAAUUGAUUUUAUUCACAGAGUUCCCAUUGUGGUAAAGCAUAAACAAAUCUGACUAGUCACCAUGAGGUUGUGGGUGUGAUCCCUGGCCUUGCUCAGUGGGUUAAGGAUCUGGCGUUGCCGUGAGCUGUGGUGUAGGUCGCGGAUGAGGCUCUGAUACUGUGUUGCUGUGGCUGUGGCAUAGGCUGGUAGUCAUAGCUCCAAUUCGAUCCCUAGCCUGGGAACCUCCAUGUGCUAUGGGUGUGACACCCCUCCCGAAAUGAUUUUAUUCAGAAAUAAAGAGUUCCAUGGUCAAUUGUUUCAAGGGUAAACUGGAUGAAAUAGGCAUGCUGCUGUUCUGCAGGACUUUUCAGAGCCUUCAUAAUGCUAGUAUGAUGGUGAGUCUCUGAAAGGGGAUAAAACUUGGAGCAUUUUCUGAACAUCCUGGUUCACAGAUUCGUUUUUUGUCAUUGUUCAUAUGCUGCUGCUUAUGAAAAGUGUUUUGGGAGACACAGAUCUAACCUGACUUUAUUGGUUCACCCAACAAAAAUUAAGGCAAGAGAUGUUAAGGUAAUUUACUGAGGUCAUACAAUUGGUUUGUUCUGAAAUUGAGCAGGGGAAGAAGGAGGGGCAACCUCACUGAAUAACAUUUUUCCAAAUAGAUGUGUAUAGUGUGCAGUGUAUAUUAAAGUCUGUAUAAUGCUGAUGACAGAGAUGUUCCUUCUUUUGAACUAAACAAGGAGUGAUAUACUACACAUAUUACCGAGUCAUAUUACCAAAGAUGUCCCCAACCAUUAAACACAUACAGACAACCAGGAAUAGUUUACAGCAGCAACAGUGUUCUUUUAUUAAACACCUAUUUUGACAUUCAGGAUAACAAGAAAAAUAGGGAACUUAACAAUGCUAACAUCAUUAUCCACCCACAUAUAAGUUCUUUAGUAAUAUACAGACAUGUGCUAUCUUUUUAUAGCUUAAGAGUUUAGUAAUAGAAGGAUGAACUUCAAGAUUGUUACAUUUAACCCUUUCACUUUUUAAAUGAGGAAAAUGAAGCCCAAAUGGAUUAAACAAUAAAGACACACAAUUUGUUUUUGAAAGACCUGGGGUGAGAAUCUGGUUCUCCCUAUUCUCAUAGCAUGGUAUAUCCAGUCCUACUAAGUGUUUGUUGGGGUGCCCAGUUAUUGUAGAUAGCACAUGUGCUACUACAUUUUAUUCUUAUUUGGAAUUUCAUUCACUUUUACAGGUUAACGUGCAGUUGUGAAAUAAAAUGAUUUGUUAUUCCUGGGAGAUUGGAUCUCCUGUUCACUUAAGCCAGAGAAUGAGGAGUGUUAUCUUUGCAAGCAGCAUGAUGGAUGAGAAGUAACUAUUUGUCGAAUCCAGGUUUCAUUAAUCAUGAAUCGCCUUGUCUAGAGAUAUUUCAUGUCCACUCAUCUUCAAGGGGAUAGCUGGCUAGCUCUUCCCUUUCAUAUAUAAAUGCCAUGUGUCCUGCAAAGCAUAUAUAAGAGCAAGAGGGAACAUAAAAGUUGUAUGAGCUCAGAACAAAAGAGAAAUGAUCCUUUGUAAUGCACAGUAGAGGCAAACACUGGGAUACAUUUGUUAUUUUAUUUUAUUUUAUUGACUCUAAAGGAAAGGGAGAUCUAAGAUUGCUCUUCCCCAGGCUGGGGGCAAGUGUCUCCAGGCAUGUUUGGUGUCAUCACGAAUGCUCUGCUAUCCUAUCACUCUCACUAGAAGCAGUCCCUGUGUCUUUUCAUUGGUCCUUGUUAGGUCUGAGCAUUAGCGCCAAUGUCUGAAUUGCUUUCUGGAUUCCAAGCAACCUCCCCUUGAUCAGUCAGUCAGUCAGUCAGAAAUGCUUGUUCCCUGCCUAUCAGACCAUGUUCUUCUCUGUGUGAGGACUUCCUAGGAUCCCAGCCUUUCUGCGUUGUCAUAGUCUCCAUAGUUUUCCUUAGAGUCAUCUGACUGCCUGGCUCUGAAAACAAGUCACUUUAGUUAGUAGGCAUUAAUUACAGAGUUGCUCCACAGAUUCUGAUAUGGCCUGGUUAGCCUGGAUUAUUCUAUAUUGGCUGGACAAGGCUUGUUUUUAUGGGACACUGACUUUCAGGCUUUAGGUCCUCCUGUCUGGAUCAUCAACAUUAGUCUGUGUUUUCCUCCUCAGUUUAUUUGGUUUCUUUAGGGCUGAUUCCUUUCCUCUCUGCUACUUUUAGCCUAUAUUUUUCCUAGGCACUUGAACUACCAGCUACCUACUGGCUAUAUCAACUUUAUGUGUUCCCAUACUUGGCCAACUUUGUCCUAUUAUGGUUAAAAUUCUAAACCAAAAUUGUAUAUGGAAACCUGGAGAGUUUCAGUUGACUGGGGGUACUCUACAGUGUAAGUACUUGUGGGUCAAUUAUGAUGCUGUCCCUGGAGGUGCUGGAUCAUGGUGCUUCUAAAUAUUCCCAAACAUAAAUUUUGUCUGUGUGCACCAUAGAAAGGGAUUCUUCUCUCCUGAAGAAAAAGGGAGCAGAAUUUAAUUUGUUCUGUGACAAGAUUUGUAUCAGAGGCAGUAAUAAGAUUCAAGGUAAUUAGGGUACUUGACAACUCAGAUCCAAAUUAUAGCAGUCAUGCUUUAACAGAUUUCAAAGUGACAUCCAGACAUGGGUGCUGGCAAACACUUUUACCAGAAUUCAAACCCAUCUAAAUGUCCCCUUGUUGGUCUGAGAGCCUUGUCUUUGGAUGAGAAAGCAAGCUUGGCUCCCUGUGCACUGAGGAGCUGUAGCUCCUGGGGAGACAGGAGAUCAAUGGGAUGAGCACUGUGGGAUAUUUAUGGAGAAGUCAACUGGGGAGCUUUGGGAAGAGUCGGCACCAGAUUUGAAUAAUUAAUAUUCAAUCCUUAAUAGACCACGGCAUCGGUGGACCCCAGAAUAUUUGGCUAUUAUUCAUAAACAGCCUUGAUGACCUCAGAGUUUGAAUGCUUGUGGUUGAUAGGUUGGGGGAAGCCUCAAGAACAUAGAGAUUACGGGUUAUAAUAACUUGAGUUAUGGCAGAUGCCUCUGUGUAUCCCAAAUUAAUUCGUGGUAGUACUUUCUUUGCCUUUUGCCUUAAAGAGAAACAGAAAGAAUGGUAAAUAUAGAGUAGGAAAUGGCCUGGAGGGAACUUUUAUUUUAAAAUAACAUUUAUUACUAGCCUAUAAUCAUUAAGGUAAUAGAUAGUGCAUAAUAUUCUCAAAGUACAGAGUGAAAAGCACUCAGAUAGAAGUAAAUGCCACCAAAAUUCCAUGAGAAAAAGAUGAAUACAUUCUCUUGCAAAAUAGUUUUGGUUUUUCACAUAUGCUUAUAUAAAAUAGUUAAUGAUAUGUAAUGACAUAAAUGACAUAAAUUUUCUAGCUAGCUAACUGGAUUUUUAACAGCAAAAUAGAGUGUAUUUAGAUUUAAUAAUUUUAUGUAGUUUUUUUGCUACAAGAUCUAGGGCACUUUUUUCAUAUUAAUACAUAGCAAUUAUUGUUUUGAGGCUACUAUAACUGUUUCCUCUCUUAUAUCUAUCAAAUUUUUUUCCAGUUUUUUGUUUACUUUCUACUUUGCUUAAAGAUGAUGUGUAUUUUUUGCUUGUAUAAUUACUUUAUAAGUGAAAAGAAAGAGAGAAAUAUACUUUCUCUAAAAUAACUAUAUCUUGAAAAUUCAGAGUGUACAUGCUGACAUAAAACAUUUUAUUACAAAAUGGGUUUCCACAGAAUAAUAUGCUUGGCAUUUGCUUCUUUAUCUUUGCCAUGUUUCUGGACAAGAGGGACACUUAAUUCACAGCCUAUGUUCUCUCUGCCCAGCAGUUAAAGAGAUUGAUGUUCUUGCAUGCAAACAAUAAAUUUACAGGGAAACUGCCCAUAAAGUCUCUUUCAGGAUGUUUAGUGCUGUAGACUUUGGCAUAAAGAGAAAAUUCCAACUAUGUCGUUUCAGAAUUCUUAGAGAAAUCAGCAGGUGAGGUUUGAUUGAUGGGCAUGUCCCACAUCCUUUAUACCCAAUGCCUCUGCAGUUUACUUCUGCAAACUCUAAUACAUUUUCCCAGAGGGAAUACGUAAAGUGCUUUCUCAGGUUUUGAGAUCUUUCUACUUCCUAUAUCUGAUGCAGACAGCAGACAGAUUGGGAAAAUGACCAAAAGAAGUGCCAGGCGUAAAGGC